rnacentral:misc_RNA from 1 species
UCCUCCGCUUAUUGAUAUGCUUAAGUUCAGCGGGUAUCCCUACCUGAUCCGAGGUCAACCUGGAAAGAAUGGUUGGAAAACGUCGGCAGGCGCCGGCCAAUCCUACAGAGCAUGUGACAAAGCCCCAUACGCUCGAGGAUCGGACGCGGUGCCGCCGCUGCCUUUCGGGCCCGUCCCCCCGGAGAGGGGGACGGCGACCCAACACACAAGCCGGGCUUGAGGGCAGCAAUGACGCUCGGACAGGCAUGCCCCCCGGAAUACCAGGGGGCGCAAUGUGCGUUCAAAGACUCGAUGAUUCACUGAAUUCUGCAAUUCACAUUAGUUAUCGCAUUUCGCUGCGUUCUUCAUCGAUGCCGGAACCAAGAGAUCCAUUGUUGAAAGUUUUAACUGAUUGCAUUCAAUCAACUCAGACUGCACGCUUUCAGACAGUGUUCGUGUUGGGGUCUCCGGCGGGCACGGGCCCGGGGGGCAGAGGCGCCCCCCCGGCGGCCGACAAGCGGCGGGCCCGCCGAAGCAACAGGGUACAAUAGACACGGAUGGGAGGUUGGGCCCAAAGGACCCGCACUCGGUAAUGAUCCUUCCGCAAGGUUCACCUACGGA